UGAGUACGAGAUGCUACGGCAUCGAAGCAGUCUAUGUCAUACUUCCAAGAAAAGCUUGCACUGUCAGAAACAGAUAAUGCCUGUACCAUAACCGACACAGGUGGGUAGGUAGAGUAUACUAAGGGGCGCGAGAUAACUCUCUCUAAGGAACUCGGCAAAAUGACUCCGUAACUUCGGGAGAAGGAGUGCCUCAUUUUUAAGGUUGCAAUAACAAGAUCCAAGCAACUGUUUACCAAAAACACAGGUCUCCGCUAAGUCGUAAGACGAUGUAUGGGGGCUGACGCCUGCCCAGUGCCAGAAGGUUAAAGAAGUCGGUUAGCAUUCGCGAAGCUGGUAACUGAAGCCCUGGUGAACGGCGGCCGUAACAAUAACGGUCCUAAGGUAGCGAAAUUCCUUGUCGGGUAAGUUCCGACCCGCACGAAAGGCGUAAUGAUUUGGAUACUGUCUCGGAGAGGGGCUCGGUGAAAUAGACUUGUCUGUGAAGAUGCGGACUACCUGCACCUGGACAGAAAGACCCUAUGAAGCCUUACUGUAACUUGAAAUUGAAAUUGGACUUUAUUUGCGCAGUAUAGGUGGGAGGCGUUGAAAAUAUUCUUGCGGGAAUAUUGGAGCCAUCAGUGAGAUACCACUCUUGUAAUGUUAGAUUUCUAACUUUAUAUCAUUAUCUGGUUAAAGAACAGUUUCAGGCGGGCAGUUUGACUGGGGCGGUCGCCUCCCAAAUGGUAACGGAGGCGCACAAAGGUUUCCUCUGAACGGGUAGAAAUCGUAUCUAGAGUGUAAAGGCAUAAGGAAGCUUGACUGUGAGACCUACAAGUCGAGCAGGGACGAAAGUCGGUCUUAGUGAUCUGACGGUGCUGAGUGGAAAGGCCGUCACUCAACGGAUAAAAGUUACUCUAGGAUAACAGGCUGAUCUCCCCCAAGAGUUCACAUCGACGGGGAGGUUUGGCACCUCGAUGUCGGCUCAUCGCAUCCUGGGGCGGUAGUACGUCCCAAGGGUUGGGCUGUUCGCCCAUGAAAGCGGUACGCGAGCUGGGUUCAGAACGUCGUGAGACAUUUCGGUCCAUAUCCGGUGUAGGCGUUAGAAUAUUGAGAGGAGCCUUCUUUAGUACGAGAGGACCGAGAAGGACAUACCUCUGGUGUACCAGUUAUCGUGCCAACGGUAAACGCUGGGUAGCUAUGUAUGGAGUGGAUAACCGCUGAAAGCAUCUAAGUGGGAAGCCCACCUCAAGAUAAG
rnacentral:rRNA from 1 species